rnacentral:rRNA from 1 species
UGGGCGUUAAGUUGCAGGGUAUAGACCCGAAACCCGGUGAUCUAGCCAUGGGCAGGUUGAAGGUUGGGUAACACUAACUGGAGGACCGAACCGACUAAUGUUGAAAAAUUAGCGGAUGACCUGUGGCUGGGGGUGAAAGGCCAAUCAAACCGGGAGAUAGCUGGUUCUCCCCGAAAGCUAUUUAGGUAGCGCCUCGUGAAUUCAUCUCCGGGGGUAGAGCACUGUUUCGGCUAGGGGGCCAUCCCGGCUUACCAACCCGAUGCAAACUGCGAAUACCGGAGAAUGUUAUCACGGGAGACACACGGCGGGUGCUAACGUCCGUCGUGAAGAGGGAAACAACCCAGACCGCCAGCUAAGGUCCCAAAGUCAUGGUUAAGUGGGAAACGAUGUGGGAAGGCCCAGACAGCCAGGAUGUUGGCUUAGAAGCAGCCAUCAUUUAAAGAAAGCGUAAUAGCUCACUGGUCGAGUCGGCCUGCGCGGAAGAUGUAACGGGGCUAAACCAUGCACCGAAGCUGCGGCAGCGACGCUGAUGCGUUGUUGGGUAGGGGAGCGUUCUGUAAGCCUGUGAAGGUGGCCUGUGAGGGUUGCUGGAGGUAUCAGA